CGAUAUCGAUAACUAUAUUGAAAGUGAAAAGUGGAUGGAAUAAAUUUCCAAAUUCAACCACUAAUAAUUAAAUUAAAUUAGCUAAACUCGUUUUAAUACGACUUAUUUAGCAGCCAGCAAAACUAAACAACAACAAACAUGUGCGGCGGUUUCACCUGCUCGAAGAACGCGCUAAUUGCGCUCAACAUUUUGUAUGUGAUGAUUGGAUUCCUGCUGAUUGGAGUGGGCGUGUACGCGCGUGCCGCCUCCAUCGUGACCAACCUGCCGAUUGUGGGCGGCAUCCUGGCCUGCGGCGUCAUCCUCAUCUGCAUAUCCAUGCUGGGACUGGCGGGAGCCGUCAAGCACCACCAAGUGAUGCUCUUCUUCUACAUGAUCAUUCUGUUCAUGCUGUUCCUGAUCCAGUUCUCCAUUGCCAGCUCCUGCUUGGCCGUCAAUUCCGAGCAGCAGCAGCAGUUUGCCGAGCAGGGAUGGAUGACAGUGCCCACGGAUUUGCGGAAGCAAGUGCAGGACAGCCUGAAAUGCUGCGGAUUCAAUGCCACCGUACCGAGCACCACCUCCGUGGUGCCGCCGCCGGAUGAGCCCUCGUGCGAGCUGAUCAAUCAGCAGUGCUGUGCCCACUCCACCGAGGCGGACUGCCGUUGCGAACCCUGCGGACCCCUGCUGGAGGACAAGAUCGACUACGCCUUCAAGUUGUGCGGCGGCCUGGGCAUCUUCUUCAGCUUCACUGAGUUCGUUGGCGUCUGGCUAACAGUACGCUAUCGCAACCAGAAGGAUCCGCGCGGAUUGCCCAGCGCCUUUCUCUAAGUUAAACGCUAGGCGAGAACAAGAUAAACAUUUCCCAGAUACAGAAACAUCCAAAAGUUAUUUAGUGCAUGUAUCUCUCUGAUCUGUCUCUGCUAAAUGUUUUGGUGUUGCGAUGGAGGAUUUCAUGAGCUCUUGGGGCCCACAUACCAUAUAUAUACAAGCAUCCUUUAUAUUUAUACCAUCUACAGAUACAUAUAUACAUAUAUAUUUAAUCACAUUGCCGCAGAACUAUGUACGUAAUGUGUUAGGUCGUAAUUGAUAUACAACUUUAGACAUAUAUACAUAUUAUAGAGAGAUAUAUAUAGAAGAGGAGAGAGCUACGCGUUUAACCCACUUAAGAACCCGAAAGCAAGCAAUCAGCAAAGAAACAUAUUUCCUUUUACUCUCAACACACUUCCUUUAAAACUUCCCCCCAAAAAAAACAUUGUACUUACACUUGACUGCCUGCUCUUUGACUAAGCGUAAAUCCGACAAGUGGCCAAGGGUCUUGGCCGUUUUCCUGGCGCGUCGCUACCGCAAUCAACACGAUCCCUGCUAUCUGCCUGCCCGCGCCGUCUUUCCGCACGAUUAUCUGUAUUGAACGGACUGAAAAGGGCUGAAAAGCACAAGAUGGAAGUGAAACAUUUUAGUCAAAGGGACGAAGGCUGAAUUCUUAAUUUUACAAUCGCGUUUCCUAGCGAGAAUCGAAUGCAAACUCGAACAAGAGAUUACGCUCCGGAGGAGGAGAACGUAGAGGAGGAGUAAUAAAUGUGCUCAACACUGCUGCUUCAUAAGAACAAGCCUAUUUUACCAUUCAAUCUGCUUUAAUUGCACAAAGUUAUCUAAUUAUUAAUACCUCCAUUGAGAUUAUGUUUAGAUGUAAUGUUGUAGUUUAAGUUCAUCUCCUUGAAACACCUUAGUUAGCUCUUAAUGCCUUUCUUUGCAACUCGCAACAAUCAUGAACGACUCGACGUGACUACUGACUCUAAACUACUGUACCACUACGAGACAAACAUUUCAACAACCUGAUCUUAACGUAGAACUAACAACCAAGUCAACAAUUGUAACUAGCAACGUAAUAAGUAUACAUCAACCUAUAUACAAAACGUAAUUGCAUUAUUGCCCUCGCGGCGUAUAAACAAUACUCUAAAUGUUAGUUGUGUGUUAAACUUUAAACUAGCGAGAAAAGCCCACAAAAUAACACAAAAAAAAAGAGUAACCCUCUAAGCAUACAUGUCAACAAUUAUACAAGUCUAUACGGAUAAGAGAACUGCUUCUUCGAAUUUUCACUCCUUUUCCGCACUUGCUCGACUUUCUCUGCAGCUUUUCCUCCUUGACUCUCACCCGCGCCCCGCAAAAAGCCACCAAGAACAGAAACAAACACAUCACAACCGACACGCUUCUUCCUCUAGACACACAUCACACUCACAAGGAAAUAGUUUCCCCGCAGUUUCCUUUCCAGUUUCUUUUCGAGCGACAAAUAAACCAUUAGAUAAUAUUCUCUGUAUUCUGUGCUGUGAUUGAAGUAAAUAUGAUCUUUAAACAACAAAAGCAAAGGCGCAAUCAAGUUUUGAGUUUCAUUUCCCGCAUUUCCCCGAGUCCAAUUAAUGAGCGACACACCCCCGCGGAUUUCGCGGCUUGUGAUAUCAUUAGCCAAGUGUCUCGGCUUACCACAGACAUCCUUGCGGGCCGGAAAAGGUGGCAGACGGUGGAAUAAGGAUAUUGAUUUAAUGGAAGCAAAGAACAUUUUUUAUUAUGUUAGAUUUAUUACUUUUAUGUUACGUUUAACGAAGCAGAAAUGUAAUUCUUUGUAUAAUUUUAAGCCUCCUUGUAUCGAAUAUUUUAUGUCCAUUGUAUUUCAAAUUAUGUUUUAAUAAGGAUUUAAAUAAUAUAGAGCCUUAAAACAAGGUUCAAAUAUGAUCCAUUUUUAAUGACAUGUCAAAAAUAUUUGUUUUUUAUUUUGAUCAAAAGAAAUCCAAUUUAUAAAUUUAUUGUGAGCUGUAUAUUUUAUUUACUUUUAAAUUUCCCUUUGCAUUGGAUUCUUGAUUAUUUGUAUAAUUUUAAGCUAUAUCGAAUAUUUUAUAUCAUUUAUAUUAAUAAUUUUCUGUUACUAAGAACCAUAAAUUAUGUAAAUGUCUUUUUAAAUAUUGUCAAAAAUAUUUGUUCGUCAAUUUGAUCAUAUAUUUUCUGUGAAUUAUAUGUAUAUGUAAUAGA